rnacentral:rRNA from 1 species
AGCAGCCGCGGUAAUUCCAGCUCCAAUAGCGUAUAUUAAAGUUGUUGCAGUUAAAAGCUCGUAGUUGAAUUUCGGGAUUGACGUAAUGGUCGUGCCUUAAGGGGUAUGAACUGUUACUGUUGAUUUCUCACCUUCUGGAGAAACUUGAUGUCCUUAAUUGGGUGUCUUGCGGAUCCAGGACCUUUACCUUGAAAAAUUAGAGUGUUUAAAGCAGGCAUUUUUGCUCGAAUACAUUAGCAUGGAAUAAUAGAAUAGGACGGCAUGGUUCUAUUUUGUUGGUUUCUAGGAUCACCGUAAUGAUUAAUAGGGAUAGUUGGGGGCAUUAGUAUUCAAUUGUCAGAGGUGAAAUUCUUGGAUUUAUUGAAGACUAACUACUGCGAAAGCAUUUGCCAAGGAUGUUUUCAUUAAUCAAGAACGAAAGUUAGGGGAUCGAAGACGAUCAGAUACCGUCGUAGUCUUAACCAUAAACUAUGCCGACUAGGAAUCAGACGAUGUUAAUUUUUUAAUGACUCGUUUGGCACCUUACGGGAAACCAAAGUGUUU